rnacentral:lncRNA from 1 species
GGAAAUUAGGUAUGUAACCAUUUCAUAAUUCAUAUUAUUAUCAUUCAAAUAUAAGACACGAGAUGUUCCUCAUGUUCUGUGUACCAGCGUCUAGAAGUCCAUCCCACUUAUCCUACAAAGAACUGAUUGGAAAUAAAAUAAAAUCCAGAACGGAAAAAAAGAAGAAAAGAAAGAACACAUGAGGAUGAUUCAACUUACAGUAGGUACCGUGGAGAAAUAAGAUGCAAUAGAUAAAGCGUGAUGAUGAAUGAAGCUGAAAUAAUAAAGGUUUGAAUUCACAGCUUCCAACGGCGCCGCCUACACGAGCAUAUACUGCAACUGGUGGGAUGGUACGUGUUCAAUACUUAGCACUCCUUAUUAACUCUCUAACAAAAUAGUAGCUAACAACUGGGAUUGGGGAAGCUACCAACCAUCGACAAGCUCAUCAAAAGAGGAAUGGUGUUCCCAGAUGGAUGUGUGUUGUGCAGGUAAACGAUAGAAUCAAUCGAUAACGUAUUUUAUCAUUAUCAAUUCUCAACUUGGAUAUUAACCUAAUGAAUCAUUGAUUUGUCAUUGGCUAUCAUUGAUUUUGUCAUCUGGGUCCGUCAUCUGAUUUUAGUUUUCCAAAAAUUACAUCACCAUUUGUAUUAAAUAAAAACAAAAAUAGAAACACAAAUCUCGGAAAAAAAAAAUGAUUUGGACGUUCUGACGGACAACUGGCGUAAGUGAAUGGUUGAUCUGACAUCCAUUUGCUGGGGUGGACCCUAGGAUGUAACUCCGGCAAGUGAGUAGAACUGUAGAAGUGACGACGACCCAUGCACUGAUGAUUUUAUUAAAUCAAUCUUUAUAAAAUCCAAAUCCUAUCCUAAAUUCUGGAAUUAAUUUAGGCAUCUUACUUCUUCCAAUAAUUACUGUUGGUCUCCUCUGCAAUAGAAUUACUGUUUCCCUGGAAGAAGAAAAAUGAGCAAGGAGAUGAGAAGAGCUUCCGGCGAUCAUAAGAAGUGGAAGAAGAAUUUGAAAGUAAAGAGAAACAUCAAAGUCGUCCACAUCUCAAACCCUCUAAAGGUGACUCUCAGUGCCACCGAGUACAAAAAGCGCGUCCAACAACUUACCGGCCAAAAUUCCUACGUCGCCGAUAUCAUGUUCCGAGAAGCCAAAGAAGGCCGGAUAGUAAAUGAUCAACAAGAUGAUAAUCAUGACCACGUGACGGUGCCAUCUGCAGUUGCACCCAAUCCAUCGACUGACAAUCAUCAUCAACCCG